rnacentral:rRNA from 1 species
CUACGGGACGCUCCAGUGAGGAAUAUUGGACAAUGGAGGAAACUCUGAUCCAGCCAUGCCGCGUGAGUGAAGAAGGCCUUAGGGUUGUAAAGCUCUUUCAAUAGUGAAGAUAAUGACGGUAGCUAUAGAAGAAGCUCCGGCUAAAUUCGUGCCAGCAGCCGCGGUAAUACGAAUGGAGCAAGCGUUGUUCGGAAUCACUGGGCUUAAAGCGUGCGCGGCGGACUUGAAAGUCAGAAGUGAAAUCCCAGAGCUCAACUCUGGAACUGCUUUUGAAACUUCAUGUCUAGAAUCCGAUAGAGGUAAGGGGAAUUCCUAGUGUAGAGGUGAAAUUCGCAGAUAUUAGGAGGAACACCAGUGGCGUAGGCGCCUUACUGGGUCGGUAUUGACGCUCAUGUACGAAAGCGUGGGGAGCAAACAGGAUUAGAUACCCCGGUAGUC